GACGAACGCUGGCGGCGUGCUUAACACAUGCAAGUCGAACGGAAAGGUCCUGCUUUUGUGGGGUGCUCGAGUGGGGAAGGGGUGAGUAACACGUGAGUAAACUGCCCUUGACAUUGGGAUAAAUUCAGGAAACUGGGGAUCAUACCGGAUAGGAGCUCUAGCUGCAUGGGGGGGGUUGGAAAGAUUCGGCGGUUGGGGCUGGAAUAGCGGGUUAUCCGCCUGUUGGUGGGGUUGUGGCUUUACAGGGUUUUGAAGGGUAGCCGGCCUGAGCGGGUGACCGGCCACAUUGGGACUGAGAUACGGCCCAGACUCCUACGGUAGGCAGCGGGGGGGAAUAUUGCACAAUGGGCGGAAGCCUGAUGCAGCAACGCCGCGUGCGUGAUGACGGCCUUCUGGUGGUAAACCGCUUUCGCCUGUGACGAAGCGUGAUUGACGGUAAUGGGUAAAGAAGCACCGGCUAACUACGUG
rnacentral:rRNA from 1 species